GUCAGGAUGUAGCCGCUGGAGUUGCGGUAGUCGGCGCUCGCGUUGCCGAUGACGGUGCCGACGCCGUCGCGGGUCGCGUCGGCGGUCUUCAUA
rnacentral:tRNA from 1 species